rnacentral:rRNA from 1 species
AUUGAACGCUGGCGGCAUGCUUUACACAUGCAAGUCGAACGGUAACAGGCCUUCGGGUGCUGAUGAGUGGCGGACGGGCGAGUAAUGCACCGGAACGUACCCAGAGGUGGGGGAUAACGCAGCGAAAGCUGUGCUAAUACAGCAUGUGAUCUGAGGAUGAAAGCGGGGGACCGAGCAGCAAUGUUUGGCCUCGCGCCUUUGGAGCGGCCGAUGUCGGAUUAGCUAGUUGGUGGGGUAAAGGCCUACCAAGGCGACGAUCCGUAGCUGGUCUGAGAGGACGACCAGCCACACUGGAACUGAGACACGGCCCAGACUCCUACGGGAGGCAGCAGUGGGGAAUGUUGGACAAUGGGCGCAAGCCUGAUCCAGCAAUGCCGCGUGCGGGAAGAAGGCCUUCGGGUUGUAAACCGCUUUUGGCAGGAACGAAACGGUGUCCGCUAAUACCGGGCGCUAAUGACGGUACCUGCAGAAUAAGCACCGGCUAACUACGUG